rnacentral:pre_miRNA from 1 species
UCUUCAUUUUACGUGCUCUCUCGCCGAUUGGAGAGGUGAGGGAGUGUGCGAAAUGAAGAGA